rnacentral:lncRNA from 1 species
AUGUAAAUACAUAUUACAUGUUUAUUGAUGAAGGGGGUCAUAAUAAUUUAGAAAGUUGUUAUGGUAGCUAUGUAAAUUUAGCAUUAAUGAAGUUUUUAUAUAUAUUACGAAAUAAUAUACGUGAGAGUGUAAAUACAGUAUAUGAUAUUAGUACACUAAACUUACAGAAAUUGAGAAGUGCUUUUAUACUUAAUAAUUCUAAAAACAUAAAAGAUAAAAUAAAAGAAAAGUCUAUAGUAGAUAGUAAACAAACAACAAUGGAAAGUAUAAAUCAUUUGUAUAAUGAUAGUUCAAAUGGCUCUUUUUCGAGUAAUGUUUUGGAAAAAUAUGUUAGUAAUAGUACGAUUAACAAUUAUGGUAAAUGUAAUAAUAACCGUAUUAGUGGGUAUGACCACACACGCAAAAAUAAUUACACAGAUAGGCAUAAUCACACAUGCAAGCAUAAUCACACUAACAAACAUAAGCAUACAACUGGUCGUCAUAAUUAUAUAAAUAAUAUCAGAAGCAGUAGUAGUAGCUAUGAUAACAUAAAAUCUAAUCAUAAUACUAUUCGGGGUCGCAAAUUAGCUUGUGACUACUCAUUAAGUGAUAGCACAAUACUAGAGUCAAUGGAAUCUAUCUUUAAAACAAUACCCGAUAAAACUUUUUAUGAAAGUGACAACUCAAUUAGUAUAGAGCAAUUAUACAAUUACAAAUCCGUUAACAAUGGUGUUAAUGACAAUACUAAUAAGUAUAACGACAUAUAUAGCAUGAAUUAUGGUAUGUACAAACCAACAAAGUGUAAUAAGAACACAAAGGAACUAGCUAUGUUUGAUGAUAAAGUUGUUGAUUAUAGCAAUCAUGUGAGUAAUGUAAAUAAUAAAAAUAAUAAAAAUAAUAAUAAUAAUAAUAAUAAUAAUAAUAACAAUAAUAACAAUAAUAAUAAUAAUAAUAACAAUAUAAAUAAUAAUAACAAUAAUAAUAAUAAUAACAAUAAUAAUAAACGCAAGGAAGUGGUUGCUAUGGGUACAGUUAGUUAUACAAAUAGCAAUAAUAGAAGCAGUAGCAACGAAAAAUGCAACAUUACUACUACAACUAUUACUACUAACAAUAAUAGUAAUAGUAAUGGUAAACAUGAUAAAGUAAAAAUAUUAAAAAAUAAAGAUAGUUACCAAUUCAAUUAUUAUGACUCAGGUCAUCAAACUUAUAUAAAUGAUAAUGAUAUGAGUGAUAAUAAUACAUCACUCGUUGGAGGUGGUACUGAUAGCACUAAUAAUAAAAAUAAGAAUACGAGCAAUCGGGUUAAAAAUACUAACACUAAUUAUAGUAGCCACUGGUUUAAAGCGAAUUUGAAGCAUUCAACAUCAAACAUGAGUAAAAUGAAUAUGAAAAUGUUUCAGUUAAAAAGAAAUAGUUACAAUAUAAAUAAAAUACCAAAGUUUGUUUAUAACAUGAAUAAUAUGGUAACUAUUGGUGCAAAUAAUAGUGGAAUGUACCAUUUAAAUAGUACUAAGCAUAUCAAUUAAAAGAGGGCAAACUGGGGGUCCGGGAAAAAAA